UACGGAGGGGGCGAGCGUUGUUCGGAUUUACUGGGCGUAAAGCGUGCGUAGGUGGCUUCCCAAGUAAGAAGUGAAAGCCCAGGGCUUAACCCUGGAAUUGCUUUUUAAACUGGGUCGCUAGAAUAUAGGAGAGGCAGAUGGAAUUCCGAGUGUAGAGGUGAAAUUCGUAGAUAUUCGGAGGAACACCAAUGGCGAAAGCAGUCUGCUGGACUAUUAUUGACACUGAGGCACGAAAGCGUGGGGAGCAAACAGG
rnacentral:rRNA from 1 species